UUUUAUGGAGAGUUUGAUCCUGGCUCAGGAUGAACGCUGGCGGCGUGCCUAAUACAUGCAAGUCGAGCGAACAGAUAAGGAGCUUGCUCCUUUGACGUUAGCGGCGGACGGGUGAGUAACACGUGGAUAACCUACCUAUAAGACUGGGAUAACUUCGGGAAACCGGAGCUAAUACCGGAUAACAUAUUGAACCGCAUGGUUCAAUAGUGAAAGGCGGCUUUGCUGUCACUUAUAGAUGGAUCCGCGCCGUAUUAGCUAGUUGGUAAGGUAACGGCUUACCAAGGCAACGAUACGUAGCCGACCUGAGAGGGUGAUCGGCCACACUGGAACUGAGACACGGUCCAGACUCCUACGGGAGGCAGCAGUAGGGAAUCUUCCGCAAUGGGCGAAAGCCUGACGGAGCAACGCCGCGUGAGUGAUGAAGGUCUUCGGAUCGUAAAACUCUGUUAUCAGGGAAGAACAAAUGUGUAAGUAACUGUGCACAUCUUGACGGUACCUGAUCAGAAAGCCACGGCUAACUACGUGCCAGCAGCCGCGGUAAUACGUAGGUGGCAAGCGUUAUCCGGAAUUAUUGGGCGUAAAGCGCGCGUAGGCGGUUUUUUAAGUCUGAUGUGAAAGCCCACGGCUCAACCGUGGAGGGUCAUUGGAAACUGGAAAACUUGAGUGCAGAAGAGGAAAGUGGAAUUCCAUGUGUAGCGGUGAAAUGCGCAGAGAUAUGGAGGAACACCAGUGGCGAAGGCGACUUUCUGGUCUGUAACUGACGCUGAUGUGCGAAAGCGUGGGGAUCAAACAGGAUUAGAUACCCUGGUAGUCCACGCCGUAAACGAUGAGUGCUAAGUGUUAGGGGGUUUCCGCCCCUUAGUGCUGCAGCUAACGCAUUAAGCACUCCGCCUGGGGAGUACGACCGCAAGGUUGAAACUCAAAGGAAUUGACGGGGACCCGCACAAGCGGUGGAGCAUGUGGUUUAAUUCGAAGCAACGCGAAGAACCUUACCAAAUCUUGACAUCCUUUGACCGCUCUAGAGAUAGAGUCUUCCCCUUCGGGGGACAAAGUGACAGGUGGUGCAUGGUUGUCGUCAGCUCGUGUCGUGAGAUGUUGGGUUAAGUCCCGCAACGAGCGCAACCCUUAAGCUUAGUUGCCAUCAUUAAGUUGGGCACUCUAAGUUGACUGCCGGUGACAAACCGGAGGAAGGU
rnacentral:rRNA from 1 species